UCUUUGGCUGUCCGAGUUGUAAUCUAGAGAAGCGCGUUCUGUGUUGGACCGUGUACAAGUCUCCUGGAAGGGAGCGUCAUAGAGGGUGAGAGUCCCGUCUUUGACACGGACUACCAGUGCUAUGUGAUGCGCUCUCGACGAGUCGAGUUGUUUGGGAAUGCAGCUCAAAACGGGUGGUAAACUCCAUCUAAAGCUAAAUACAGGCGAGAGACCGAUAGCGAACAAGUACCGUGAGGGAAAGAUGAAAAGAACUUUGGAAAGAGAGUUAAACAGUACGUGAAAUUGCUGAAAGGGAAACGCUUGAUGUCAGUCGCGUUGGCCGGGGAUCAACCUUUGCAUUUCUCGCUGGGUGUACUUCCCGGUCGACGGGUCAGCAUCAGUUUGGGUCGCCAUACAAGGGCGAGGGGAAUGUGGCACCCUUCUGGGGUGUGUUAUAGCCUUUCGUCGGAUGUGGUGGUCGAGACUGAGGAACUCAGCACGGCUUCGGUAGUGUGCUUUUAGGAUGCUGGCAUAAUGGCCUUAAGCGACCCGUCUUGAAACACGGACCAAGGAGUCUAACAUGCCUGCGAGUGUUUGGGUGG
rnacentral:rRNA from 1 species